AUGUUUAUAUGUUGGGGAAACUCACUGACAGUGGGCCUACUUGAUGGGGAUAUAGUCAGCGGAAUCGAAGAGCCGGACGGAACGGCCCACCCGGAGACAGGAAGGACUGACCUGUCCUCAGUCUGCACGUUUGCAUCAUCUCCCUUCCCUGCGGGGCUGUCCUGUAGUCACCGUUCAACCCUCCUCAUUAGCCCACUGUUUCUUCUCAAAGCAUUAGGGCUCGUGCCUCUUAAUUCUCUACCCCAAUCAACACCACUAUCCCUGGCCAUUGGCAGACCCCGUGGGGGACCUGUGAACUCUGUCAUAUCCUGGAUGGUCAGUAGCUGGCGGACACUGAGGGAUGCCCUCAAGGAUAAAGUCUGAGACGCUGCGUGUGUUCUGACAGUUCUGGUGAUGACAUGGGCUCUGAGACACGGCUUCUAGAAGAGGAAGGAGGACCGCUCGGGCUGGUCAUGAGAGGGCCUGAGAAGAUGCUCAGGGUCCCCUGCGAGGAAGGCGGGUCCUGUUCAGGAAGGUCUGGAGGCUGAGCCGCAAGAGGUGGAACGGAGACCAGCCUUUCAAAUGGUCUUGACCUGACUUGAUGGUCAUUCACUCUUUUCCGAAUGGAAGUGGAGGGGAGCUGUCCCCACCGAGGGCGGGCUGGGACUCGAACUGACAGGGGAUUCGCUCUUGACUGCCGAGCCAAGGGGUCUCCAGUGCUGAGUUAAAUGACCUCUCUAAGGGGCGAGGAAGUUCUGGAGAGAAAAGUUUCUUUGCUGAGCUGAAUGCGCCUUCUCUGGAAACCAAAGAUAAAUGAUGCAAACCCUUGCUUCCUGGUGAGAAGCUGCUCUUUGCUGAGGCCCUAACACCCCCCUCUGCCGCUUUAGGAACAAACCCGGAUGGAUGAACCCCUGACUCGCGGGUGUGGGGACACCGGGGUGGCUCAAGAUUUCAAGAUUGCGGCUCUGGCUGAGAGACCCCACGGCAUGCUGAGGGCCAGGCACAAGCGAGCACCUCCCCACCCUGUGGGAUAUGUGGUGUUCGUCAGGCACUCCUGGCUGCCCAGGGACAAAAGAAAAGAAAGAAAACAAACGGCUAACUGGUAGGGAUCACAGUCAUGCAGGACACGGAGUCUCCAUCAGUUUACAAAUACCCUGUAAAUUACAAGACAACGGUGAUCUCAUCUCCUGAAGCCUGUGGACUCCGUUCCCUGGAUCUCCAGUAUCACUGUCCCCUCCAGAGUGAUGUGGGAACACAGGCAAGAAGGAAAUGGCAGUUAAAAUUAAGUUUCCUCAACACCCGCAGCCCAUGGACAGGCUCCUGAGGCAAAUACCCAGUGGAACAUUUCUCCAGGAACCUCCUCUCGUCCUGAGGUGGACGCCCGGCUAGUAGCUUGGCAACGGCGUGGCCUCCAGGAUCUUAGGGUCCUCUUCGCACAUCAGAGUCCCUCGGGAGGCCUCCCUUUUGGCUCUACCUCCCCAAGUCCAUAUUCUUUUUUUUUUUUUGAAAUUUUAUUUAUUUAUUUUUUACUUUAUAAAGUUUCAUAUUUUUUAACAUAUGCAAUUAUUUUCCAUCAUUUACAAUACAGUAGUUACAAUGACACUCCAAACAGAAAAGCAAAGUAAAAAAUUAAAACACCAACUUCUGUUUCAUGUAAUUAGACUUAUACAGAAAUUGGAAGGUUAAGUAACAACUAGUUAAUCACCUAAUUUCACAGCUAUCUGAAGUGGCAAUCGUUAUAUAGCAGCUUAUCUAUGAUACAUUCAAGAUAAAUAAUACAAUUUAUUACUUGUUCAUAAGCAAGUCCAUAUUCUAAUAUGAGCCAGUCUGCCCAACCCCAGGCCAACUCUUCCCGGCCCGGCCGCGGGGCCUGUCCCUGUGCUUUAAUAAAACCACCUUUUUGCCCCAAAGACGGUCUUCAAGAAUUCUUUCUUGGUCGUCAGCUCCAGACCACCUCCUUCCCCCCAAAACCUCAUCAAGGUCAUGGUCUCGUGGUUUGUGAAUUCAAUCCUGCAUCAGGCUCUGCCCCUGCCCUGCUCCCACUCGCUCUGCCUCAAAAUAAAUAACUAAAACAUUAAACGUUAGUGAAUGAGAACGCCUUGGUCCCUGUCCUCAUGUUGGAGGUGGUUUCGGGGAGCAGCUUCUGAAUCAGCUGGGGAGUUCUCGGGACAUUCACGAAGAAAGAACGGUAACAAAUACCAGCUCACUUAAGAAACAGGUAAGUAGAGAGGUGCCCGGGUGGCUCAGUCAGUUAAGCGUCCAGCUUCGGCUCAGGUCUUGAUCUCACAGUUUGUGGAUUCAAGCCCCACGUUGGGCUUUGUGCUGACAGCUCAGAGCCUGGAGCUGCUUCGGAUCCUGUGUCUCCCUCUCGGCCCCUCCCCCUGCUCACGCUCUGUCUCAUUCUCUCUCAGUAAAUAUAUAAAAAAGAAAUAAGUAACUAGAAUAGUACUUCCAUGCAGGAGCAAUUUUACUUCUACCCUUCUAGCUUCCGUGGCUGGCCAGUUACAAUGACAUCAAACUGGUUAGGAGGAGAAAAGUCUGG
ensembl:lncRNA